UGGGGAAUUUUGGACAAUGGGCGAAAGCCUGAUCCAGCAAUGCCGCGUGUGUGAAGAAGGCCUUCGGGUUGUAAAGCACUUUUGUCCGGAAAGAAAUCCUUGGCUCUAAUACAGUCGGGGGAUGACGGUACCGGAAGAAUAAGCACCGGCUAACUACGUGCCAGCAGCCGCGGUAAUACGUAGGGUGCAAGCGUUAUCGGAAUUACUGGGCGUAAAGCGUGCGCAGGCGGUUUGCUAAGACCGAUGUGAAAUCCCCGGGCUCAACCUGGGAACUGCAUUGGUGACUGGCAGGCUAGAGUAUGGCAGAGGGGGGUAGAAUUCCACGUGUAGCAGUGAAAUGCGUAGAGAUGUGAGGAAUACCGAUGGCGAAGGCAGCCCCCUGGGCCAAUACUGACGCUCAUGCACGAAA
rnacentral:rRNA from 1 species